rnacentral:lncRNA from 1 species
GGAUCGAAACACGGUGAAAUAUUCUAUUAAUUUAUUGAAACUUGGGAGGCAUAACGACAUAACAUUAUCGAAUCCGCGGAUUAAAAUCCGAUUUAAAGCGACGAGGUAAAAUGGUAUUAAACUCAAAAUUAUAUUUACAUAUCAAAAGUUUAUUUAUAUUUACAUAUCAAAAGUUUUAUUUAUAUUUACAUAUCAAAGCUCAUUUAUAAUCACCAGCAGUAUUCUAACCCACCAAGAUGCACACUUGAC